UCCAAAAGCUUUUUUAAAAUAAAGAAAAAGGCUUUAUAUAUAUAUAUAUAAAAGAAAUCCAACUACAUAUAUAUUAUAUUCUAUUCUAUGUGUAUCUCUCCUUCAUGUAUUAUCUAUAAUAUUUAGUUUAUUCGCGUGUUAAUGAGUGAGUCCCAAAAGACUAUAUUAUAUACACCUUUAUUAUCUAUAAUCAUUAUAUUAAGUCGUCGUAUUCGUUUCCAUCAUCUAUCUAUCAUCCAUCCUUGUCAUUUGUUAAAAGAAGAAAAAGAAAUGAAUCUCGUCAGUUAAUGGAAAUCGAAUUUGUCUCAUUUAUUCAAUAUUAUAUACCUACAACUACUACAUAUAUGUAUAUCUAUCAUGUUUACUGUGUAUUUUUAAAAAGAAGAACAAUCCAUAUUGAUACUGUUCUCGUGAUCCAUUUGCUUCUUUAAAAACAUAAAACAAAAAGAAUUUGAAAGUAUCCAUUUGGACAUUUAAAAAAAAAACAAAAAAACUCUGCCUUUAAAUAAUUGUUUUGUGUACAUUCAAUCAUCAUCUACAGAGAGUAUGACUCCUUCAUUAAUUAAAAAAUACGGUAAGAAUGUGUGAAUUUUAUGUGUGUCUGUUGGUGAAGCGUCCUUACUACUGAGAGAAAUGGAAUUUUUAAGUUCUAUCAAAUAAAAUUAGAAUACUUAAAACAAAAUUGAUUGAAUAAAUUUUUGGUUCUAAUUUGUCAAUUUUUUUUUUUUUUUAAAUAG
rnacentral:lncRNA from 1 species